UACGUAGGGGGCAAGCGUUGUCCGGAAUCAUUGGGCGUAAAGAGCGUGUAGGCGGUUAUGUAAGUCUGCUGUGAAAGUCGGAGGCUCAACCUUCGAAAGCCGGUGGAUACUGCAUGACUUGAGUACGGAAGAGGCGAGUGGAAUUCCUGGUGUAGCGGUGAAAUGCGCAGAUAUCAGGAGGAACACCAACGGCGAAGGCAGCUCGCUGGGACGUUACUGACGCUGAGACGCGAAAGCGUGGGGAGCAAACAGG
rnacentral:rRNA from 1 species